UACAGAGGGUGCGAGCGUUGUCCGGAAUUACUGGGCGUAAAGGGCGCGUAGGCGGCCUGGUAAGUCGGGGGUGAAAGUCAGCGGCUCAACCGCUGGACUGCCUUCGAGACUGCCUGGCUUGAGCAUGGUAGAGGCUGGCGGAAUUCCCGGUGUAGCGGUGGAAUGCGUAGAGAUCGGGAAGAACAUCGGUGGCGAAGGCGGCCAGCUGGGCCAUUGCUGACGCUGAGGCGCGACAGCGUGGGGAGCAAAC
rnacentral:rRNA from 1 species